GGUGAGUUGGCUGAGCGGCUGAAGGCGCUCGCUUGGAAAGCGAGUUUAGGUUUAUCCCUAACAUGAGUUCGAAUCUCAUACUCACCGCCA
rnacentral:tRNA from 1 species